GGUGCGUUUGGCGCGCGCGGCCCGCGGAGGGGGCGGCGAUGGCGGGAGGCGGCGGCGGGCCCGGAGCGGGGCCGGUGGCGCAGGGGCUGAAGGAAGCGCUGGUGGAGACGCUGACGGGGAUCUUGUGCCCGGUGCAGGCGGUGCGAGCCGCUGCUGAGGAGCAGGUGAAGGUGCUGGAGGUGACGGAGGAAUUUGGUGUUCAUUUAGCAGAACUGACUGUGGAUCCUCAGGGAGCUCUGGCCAUCCGGCAGCUGGCAUCUGUCAUCCUGAAACAAUAUGUGGAAACUCACUGGUGCUCUCAGUCUGAAAAGUUCCGACCUCCAGAGACCACGGAAAGGGCAAAAGUUGCUAUUAGGGAGCUUCUGCCCAACGGGUUGAGGGAGUCUAUCAGCAAGGUGCGCUCGAGUGUUGCCUACGCCGUGUCAGCCAUCGCCCACUGGGACUGGCCCGAGGCAUGGCCUGAGCUCUUCAACCUCCUCAUGGAGAUGCUGGUCAGCGGCGAUGUCAAUGCAGUGCAUGGAGCCAUGAGAGUGCUCACAGAAUUUACCCGAGAAGUGACAGACAUACAGAUGCCACUUGUAGCUCCAGUCAUUCUUCCAGAGAUGUACAAAAUUUUCACAAUGGCAGAGGUGUAUGGGAUUCGGACAAGGUCUCGUGCAGUGGAGAUAUUUACAACGUGUGCCCACAUGAUCUGUAACAUGGAGGAGUUGGAAAAGGGUGCAGCSAAGGUCCUGAUUUUUCCUGUGGUGCAGCAGUUCACAGAAGCCUUUGUCCAGGCGCUGCAGAUGCCUGAUGGACCAACAUCAGAUAGUGGGUUUAAGAUGGAAGUUUUAAAGGCUGUGACAGCACUUGUGAAAAACUACCCAAAGCACAUGAUUUCAUCAAUGCAGCAGAUCCUGCCCAUUGUCUGGAACACCCUUACGGAAAGUGCUGCUUUUUAUGUGAGAACAGAAGUAAAUUACACAGAAGAGGUGGAGGAUCCUGUGGAUUCUGAUGGUGAAGUUUUGGGCUUUGAGAACCUGGUGUUCAGCAUAUUUGAAUUUGUUCAUGCCUUGUUGGAAAACAACAAAUUUAAGAGCACAGUGAAGAAGGCUCUGCCAGAACUGAUCUAUUACAUCCUGCUUUACAUGCAGAUUACAGAGGAGCAGAUAAAAGUUUGGACUGCGAAUCCACAGCAGUUUGUGGAGGAUGAAGAUGAUGAUACGUUUUCCUACACAGUGAGAAUUGCUGCUCAGGAUCUGUUGCUGGCUGUGGCUGCUGAUUUCCAGAAUGAGAGUGCAACUGCUCUGGCAGCAGCAGCUACAAGGCAUUUGCAGGAAGCUGAGCAAGCUAAAAACAGCGGCGCUGAGCACUGGUGGAAAAUACAUGAAGCAUGUAUGCUGGCCCURGGCUCAGUCAAGUCUAUAAUUACAGACAGUGUGAAGAAUGGGAGAAUACACUUUGAUAUGCAUGGCUUCCUGACAAAUGUGGUCUUGGCAGACCUCAACCUUUCAGUGUCUCCUUUCCUCCUGGGCCGGGCCCUGUGGGCUGCCAGCCGUUUCACUGUGGCCAUGUCUCCAGAGCUCAUCCAGCAGUUCCUGCAAGCCACUGUCAGUGGAUUGCACGAAACCCAGCCCCCCUCUGUCCGGAUCUCUGCAGUCAGAGCCAUCUGGGGCUACUGUGACCAGCUGAAGAUCUCCGAGAGCACCCAUGUGUUGCAGCCUUUCCUCCCCAGCAUUCUGGAUGGCUUGAUUCACUUGGCAACUCAGUUCAGCUCCGAGGUGCUGAACCUGGUGAUGGAGACGCUGUGCAUUGUGUGCACAGUGGACCCAGCAUUUACAGCCAGCAUGGAGAAUAAGAUCUGCCCCUUCACCAUUGCAAUAUUCCUCAAGUACAGUAACGAUCCCGUCGUUGCUUCUCUUGCCCAGGAUAUUUUUAAGGAGCUGGCUCAAAUAGAAGCCUGCCAGGGUCCAAUGCAGAUGAGGCUGAUCCCAACCCUUGUCAGCAUCAUGCAGGCCCCAGCUGACAAGAUCCCCGCGGGGCUAUGUGCAACUUCUAUUGAUAUACUGACCACAGUUGUGAGGAAUACAAAACCCCCUCUGUCACAACUCCUCAUCUGCCAGGCAUUCCCUGCAGUGGCACAGUGCAGCCUGAACACAGAUGACAACGCUACUAUGCAGAACGGUGGUGAGUGCCUGCGCGCGUAUGUGUCGGUGGCGCUGGAGCAGAUCGCACAGUGGCAYGACGAGCAGGGCCACAACGGGCUCUGGUACGUGAUGCAGGUGGUGAGCCAACUCCUGGACCCACGCACCUCRGAGUUCACCGCUGCCUUUGUGGGCAGGCUGGUCUCUACUUUAAUUUCGAAAGCUGGAAGUGAGCUGGGAGAGAAUCUGGACCAGAUCCUGAGAGCGAUCCUGAGUAAAAUGCAGCAAGCGGAGACGCUCAGUGUGAUGCAGUCCCUGAUCAUGGUGUUUGCUCACUUGGUUCACUCACAACUGGAGCCACUCCUGGAAUUCCUGUGCAGCCUGCCUGGCCCUACUGGCAAGCCCGCCUUGGAGUUCGUGAUGGCCGAGUGGAUGAGCCGGCAGCACCUCUUCUAUGGGCAGUAUGAAGGCAAAGUCAGCUCUGUUGCACUGUGCAAACUCCUGCAGUAUGGCAUCAACACAGAUGACAAGAGACUUCAGGACAUUAGGGUGAAGGGAGAAGAAAUAUUUAAUAUGGAUGAGGGAAUUCGGACACGAUCCAAGUCGGCCAAAAAUCCUGAGCGCUGGACAAACAUUCCUUUGUUAGUAAAAAUCUUAAAAUUAAUAAUAAAUGAACUCUCUAAUGCAAUGGAAGCAAAUGCAUCUAGACAGACAACGGCAGAUUGGAGCCAAGAUGAUUCAAAUGAUAUGUGGGAGGAUCAGGAAGAAGAUGAGGAUGAAGAUGAAGGCUUAGCAGGACAGUUCUUAUCAGAUAUUCUUUCCACAAAUAAGUAUGAUGAAGAUUACUAUGAAGAUGAUGAAGAGGAUGAUCCAGAUGCAUUAAAGGACCCUCUUUACCAAAUAGAUCUCCAGGCCUAUCUCACCGACUUCCUGUGCCAGUUUGCACAGCAGCCCUGCUAUGCCAUGUUCUCCGACCACCUCAAUGACAACGAGAAGCGAGUGCUGCAGGCCAUCGGAAUAUAGACCCACUCCAGAGACCACACCCACCAUAUCUGAACAAUAGGUUAUUUUUGGCUAAUUCCAYGUUUUAUGAUUGAACAUAAAACAUUUUCCAGUGUCUGCCUGCCUGGUCCAGGUGGACGAUGGCCUCGUAUUGAGCCUCAUCUUAACACACAUCUGCUAAGGGAAGGAAUCCUGAGAAAGCAGCAAGGACAUUGCACAUUGGUCUCACCACAGGAGCACUUUCAUUUUCCACAGUAACUUUCCAGGAAGUUCAUAAAGAUAAUGUGUCCUUAAUAUUUUUAAAAGGAAACUGUCUCUACCUGUGAAUGAGUUUCCCACAGCAGUCGGACAGAGAAAGGARCUGAGUCACUCAUGGAUUGCUUGAGAAGUGGGAAGGUUGUUCCUCUUGGCUGUUGUUCCUCCUCACGUAACACAGGGACACGUUCUGCACAUGCUGCUGGAGGAUGUUUGGGUAUUUCAUGGGAAUCACCUGGACAGAAAGGGAGUCCUGUGCUGUAUGUACCUGCUGCUUAAAACAACAGGCUGACGUGUUACAGAGUUUCCUUUUAAGAAAGGCACUUUUAUGUUCCUUUGUGGAAUAAUUUGCUUCGGUGUUGUAUCAAAACCUCCAUAACCUGGAGUCCUUCUGUGUCUCACUGGUCUCAUGUUGUGCCUGAGAAUGGGCAGGGCCAGGGUGGAACCCCCCCAUCCUCUGCAGACUCCUCUGAGCCAUCCUCAAUAUUUUGUGUGCCCAACUAUCUCUAUGAGAAGCGGAGUUUGAAGCCUGAUUUUUAUUGUCUAAUAAGGUACAAACUCYUCCCAUGCCAUCAGGUCUCAGUGUCUUUCUUUGCUGCGGAUUCUGUGGUCUAUAGGAAUAUCUAAUUAAACUGGGUGCUCUGACCCUCCURUCAUGCAGUCCAGUAAGAGUUUUGUUCUGAGGCCUUUCUCUCUCAGCUUUUGCUGAAAGGGCCAAGUUAAACAGAACAGUGCAGUCUUGAAAACCCACCAAGAAGCAGAUGGCUGCAGUGGUGUGUGUGCCCAUGGCUGUUCAGGAAGGUCAUGAGUGUCCUCAGAGGAACUGGUCCCAGCUCUGGCAAGAGGCAGGACCAGCAUUUUUUGCCCCGUGAGUCAGCAGCAGAGGCUCAAACCCAGCCAUCCAUGCUUCGAGGGAAGUGAAUACCAAACAUCUGUAAGUAUCCAGGUGUGUUCAGGGUGUCAGGAGGAAACAGCACAUUGAAGGCUGGUUAGCCUGGGCUCACAGAGGUGCUGGUGGGGUUUUUGUGUGCUCCAGUGAGAGUUGGAGCUGCUGUCCUGUGCCUCGGGGUCUUUAGACAAGUUGGAGGGGUGGAUUUAAACAAGACCUAUGAAAAAUGAGGCUGAUAUUACUACUGACACUGAGACAUCUARGGGUGUCUGUGUGAUUCCAAAGGUGUCUGUCUGAAAUUCCAAAAUUCUGGAUGGGCCAGUGUCAUGUUCCUGCUGGCGCUCAUCUGUGUUUUGGCUAAAAGCUGCUUUUCCAGCACUGUGAGAAGGGAGGAAUGGGAUAAGUGUCACUGUCUUUAUAUGUAAAGAGGCACCUGAGUUUCCCACAGCACAGUUGGACAGAGAAAGGCACUGGGUCCCUUAAGGAUUGUUUGAGAAGUGGAAAGGUUGUUCCUYUAGGCUGAAUUAGUGCUCUGCACUCUCCCUCCUGCUCAGGUGUAGCCUGAGCUGGCUGAGGAUGGAGUUGGUGCAUAUCAGCUGAAGCUUGGGAUGAUGACUGCCACUGGGAUGGCGUGGUUGUACAGCAACUGUUGAUGGCAAUUUCACCCUGGGCAGAGAACUACUCACCUUUGGCAAGAAAUACCUGACUCAAGCAAUCCCUAGGAAGAGGCUGGAUUGGAUGUGAGUCYAUGAGUGAGAUGGCUUGAGGGACCUCAGCAAAGUCUUGCUGGUGCUCAUGACUUCGUUGCUUUUUCUCUUUUCCAUUGUCCUCUUUUGUAACAAAAUUCUGAAGGCUCCAUGAUGUGCCUUUAUAAAGGAUUGUGUUGGCUGCAGGAACUAUGCUGAAAAAAACCCUCUGACCAGUAACAGCGAUUGCUCAGGAUGGAAACUGCUGGACUCUGUGAAGCAGUGUCUGAGGUCUGGUUUUGAGGUGCAGCAUUACUUGUGUUGUCUGCUAUUGCAAAGAAACGAAAUAGUCAUAGAGGUGACACCAUGUUAGGAAACAUAAACCAGGGAAAAACAAAGGGUGGGCUGUGGGCCAUGCACAGCCAAGGGCCGCUGUCACAGCUGCGUUGGUGCCUGGCACACAUGUCCUGCUCAGGGCUCGUCUCUGGGGAUGAACUGGCCUUGUUUGCUCUUGGGGACUUUUUUUUGUUUUAACAAAUAAACUCUUGUAAUGUAGAACACCACCUGCCUUUUCCUGUAAAUCCCGUCUGUACCGGAGCAGCUC